rnacentral:rRNA from 1 species
UGGGGAAUAUUGCACAAUGGGCGAAAGCCUGAUGCAGCGACGCCGCGUGAGGGAUGACGGCCUUCGGGUUGUAAACCUCUUUCAGUAGGGACGAAGCGCAAGUGACGGUACCUGCAGAAGAAGCACCGGCUAACUACGUGCCAGCAGCCGCGGUAAUACGUAGGGUGCGAGCGUUGUCCGGAAUUACUGGGCGUAAAGAGCUCGUAGGCGGUUUGUCACGUCGUCUGUGAAAUCCUAGGGCUUAACCCUGGACGUGCAGGCGAUACGGGCUGACUUGAGUACUACAGGGGAGACUGGAAUUUCUGGUGUAGCGGUGGAAUUCACAGAUAUCAGGAAGAACACCGAUGGCGAAGGCAGGUCUCUGGGUAGUAACUGACGCUGAGGAGCGAAAGCAUGGGUAGCGAACAGG